UUAAAACUUUCAACAACGGAUCUCUUGGUUCUGGCAUCGAUGAAGAACGCAGCGAAAUGCGAUAAGUAAUGUGAAUUGCAGAAUUCAGUGAAUCAUCGAAUCUUUGAACGCACAUUGCGCCCGGUAGUACUCUACCGGGCAUGCCUGUUCGAGCGUCAUU
rnacentral:rRNA from 1 species